UGGGGAAUAUUGCACAAUGGGCGCAAGCCUGAUGCAGCGACGCCGCGUGGGGGAUGACGGCCUUCGGGUUGUAAACUCCUUUCGCCAGGGACGAAGCUCUUUGUGACGGUACCUAGAUAAGAAGCACCGGCUAACUACGUGCCAGCAGCCGCGGUAAUACGUAGGGUGCGAGCGUUUUCCGGAAUUACUGGGUGUAAAGGGCUCGUAGGUGGUUUGUCGCGUCGUCUGUGAAAUUCCGGGGCUUAACUCCGGGCGUGCAGGCGAUACGGGCAUAACUUGAGUACUGUAGGGGUAACUGGAAUUCCUCGUGUAGCGGUGAAAUGCGCAGAUAUCAGGAGGAACACCGAUGGCGAAGGCAGGUUACUGGGCAGUUACUGACGCUGAGGAGCGAAAGCAUGGGUAGCGAACAGG
rnacentral:rRNA from 1 species